UACGUAGGGUGCGAGCGUUACUCGGAAUUACUGGGCGUAAAGCGUGCGUAGGCGGUUCGUUGUGUCUGUGGUGAAAGCCCCGGGCUUAACCUGGGAAUGGCCAUGGAAACUGGCGAGCUGGAGUGUGGCAGAGGGGGGUGGAAUUCCGCGUGUAGCAGUGAAAUGCGUAGAGAUGCGGAGGAACACCGAUGGCGAAGGCAGCCCCCUGGGCUAACACUGACGCUGAGGCACGAAAGCGUGGGGAGCAAACAGG
rnacentral:rRNA from 1 species